rnacentral:rRNA from 1 species
GACAUGUCCGGAAUCCGAAGAGAUUUGGGAGUGCUCGCAAGAGAACCGGAACACAGGUGCUGCAUGGCUGUCGUCAGCUCGUGUCGUGAGAUGUUGGGUUAAGUCCCGCAACGAGCGCAACCCUUGUCAUUAGUUGCCAUCAUUUGGUUGGGCACUCUAAUGAGACUGCCGGUGACAAACCGGAGGAAGGUGGGGAUGACGUCAAGUCCUCAUGGCCCUUAUGGGUAGGGCUUCACACGUCAUACAAUGGUCGGUACAGAGGGUUGCCAACCCGCGAGGGGGAGCUAAUCCCACAAAGCCGAUCGUAGUCCGGAUCGCAGUCUGCAACUCGACUGCGUGAAGUCGGAAUCGCUAGUAAUCGUGGAUCAGCAUGUCACGGUGAAUACGUUCCCGGGUCUU